rnacentral:rRNA from 1 species
CCUACGGGCGGCAGCAGUGGGGGAUAUUGCACAAUGGGGGAAACCCUGAUGCAGCGACGCCGCGUGUGGGAAGACGGUCUUCUGGAUUGUAAACCACUGUCCCCAGGGACGAAAAUGACGGUACCUGGGGAGGAAACUCCGGCUAACUACGUGCCAGCAGCCGCGGUAAUACGUAGGGAGCAAGCGUUGUCCGGAAUUACUGGGUGUAAGGGGAGCGUAGGCGGGGAUGCAAGUUGGGUGUCAAAACUACCGGCUAAACCGAUAGUCGCACUCAAAACUGCAACUCUUGAGUGAAGUAGAGGCAGGCGGAAUUCCUAGUGUAGCAGUGAAAUGCGUAGAUAUUAGGAGGAACACCAGUGGCGAAGGCGGCCUGCUGGGCUUGUACUGACGCUGAGGCUCGAAAGUGUGGGGAGCAAACAGGAUUAGAUACCCCGGUAGUC